rnacentral:rRNA from 1 species
UACAGAGGGUGCAAGCGUUAAUCGGAAUUACUGGGCGUAAAGCGUGCGCAGGCGGUUCGUUGUGUCGGCGGUGAAAUCCCCGGGCUCAACCUGGGAAUGGCCGUUGAAACUGGCGAACUGGAGUGUGGCAGAGGGGGGUGGAAUUCCGCGUGUAGCAGUGAAAUGCGUAGAGAUGCGGAGGAACACCGAUGGCGAAGGCAGCCCCCUGGGCUGACACUGACGCUCAGGCACGAAAGCGUGGGGAGCAAACAGG